rnacentral:rRNA from 1 species
GAUGAACGCUGGCGGCGUGCUUAACACAUGCAAGUCGAACGAAGCUGUUAAAAGGAAGUCUUCGGAUGGAAUUUUAACAGACUUAGUGGCGGACGGGUGAGUAACGCGUGGAUAACCUGCCUUGUACAGGGGGAUAACGGAGAGAAAUUUCCGCUAACACCGCAUAAGACCACAGCACCGCAUGGUGCAGGAGUAAAAUAUUAAUAGGUAUAAGAUGGAUCCGCGUCCGAUUAGCUAGUUGGUGAGGUAGAGGCUCACCAAGGCGACGAUCGGUAGCCGGCCUGAGAGGGUGAACGGCCACAUUGGGACUGAGACACGGCCCAAACUCCUACGGGAGGCAGCAGUGGGGAAUAUUGGACAAUGGGGGAAAACCCCUGAUCCAGCGAACGCCGCGUGAGUGAAGAAAGUA